CCAAUCUCCUCCCGAAACACAUCCGCCACCGCUGCCCACCUCGCCUCCUUCGCCGCCCCCCCAUUGCCGUCGCCUCCUCCGCCCGCCUCCACUUCCACCCUUCUCCUCCACCGCGCUCACUCGCCCCCUCCAUAUCCACGUCGGCGGCGAAGUCCAUCCACCCCGAGUCCCACGCCGUCGCCUUCUCCCCUCCGCCCCCGGCGUCUUUUCCCCUCCUCUCUGCACCACGGAGUCUCUUCCUCGCACAGUCCACCGCCUCCUCCCCCAUCGCCGUCACCUCCUCGCCUCCACCGCACUCUUCCUACUCGCUUUCUCAUCCCCAUCUCCAUCCCAAUCGCAGCUCCAGAAAAAGCGGGACAAUACCGAGGUUGACAGCGGCAGAUCAAGGCGAGCAAGGAUAAAUCGGAUCGCAGCUAAAUAGUUUGGUAAGUCUCAAACUCAGAAAAUCCCAUCACCUUCUAUCUUUGCCUUCCCAGACUGUAGCCGGGAAAACAUAUAGGGUUAAUAAAGAACAGUAAUGUGAUGGAUUGACAAAGAGUAUGUUAGAAAGCUUACAUGUACAAUUAUGUUUCUGUUUUUUUUUUAAAAAAAGGAUUGUUCCUGUGUUUUGUUCAGCAAGGGAACAUUAAUGUUAAAGGUCGAUAGCCAACUCAAACGAUUUUUUUAUUGGAUAAUAUUUUUUUUUGACAUCAUCAGCAAUGAUCUAAAGGUUUGGUUUGACAUUAACAAGUGCCUUCGAUUACAGGACAAUACACUUGUUUCUUGCCUGCGUCAUUCUGUUGGGCAAAUCUGUGAAUCAAAGACAUCAAUGUAUUAGGAGUUUAGGACACAAUUAAAUGCUAAGCAGUUAAAAAAUCUAUUACUAAAUUCAUAAAAAAAAUUUUGAUGAUCUACAUAUCUACACUGAUGAUUCAAAAAUGGCUGGAAAUUAGUAACACUUUGGUCAAAAUAAUCCUAUUCACUUUAAUAUUUUUCCCUUCUGAGUUCUGAAGCUGAAAGCCAAGCAAACAGCUCAUGGUCACCAAGUUAUUGGUCCUCUGGUGUGUCCAUGAGGCCUGAGGGCACCUUAACCUUAACCUUAACCUGUUAAUUAACAACAAAAUUUUAGUUCUACUCUACAUUUAGCCUAUGUAAUUAGUACAACACUAGGUACUGAAUGCUACAGUUUCUAACUCUGCAUUUACCCUAUGUAAAUGUCAAUCAUAUAUUGCAGACUGUUUAUGCACAUGAGAUUUUAGCGAGAAUUUGACAGCCAAAAUGUAAAUGACUGCAUCUGCCCAUCUCUAAUUUUUAUCUAGAGACUAAUAUGACAAUCCACUAGCCUACAAAAUCUAUGGAGCAUUGUGCAUAAAUAUAUCACCUUUUUCAUAGCUAAAAUUUUUUUAUUCAUAUUUGACUGUAUCUACGUGUACUGUCAUCACACCCGCUACAAGCCUGAUGACAGAUUCAUCGAUAUGAACAAGCUCAAGGCUUCCACUUCUGGUGGUUAGCUUCGAUUAAUUGUAUUUGCAUUGCACCUGUUCUGUAUCACUGCAUGUGCAUAACUCAAGACAGUGUGCCAGCUGAAGUUUUGUUAUCAUUUUCUAGAGGUUAUUGGCUAUUUUGCUGUCCUGAGUAACACAAUUUUAUUUGUACUGUCAUUGUUAGGUGAGAGGUUCUUCAAGAAUUAUAAUUACUCUCUUUGAUUUUUAGAAGUAAAACAUUUUAACUAUUUCAAUAGGUCAAAUUAAAUAUGUUUACAACUCUAGUUAUAACAGAAACUUCGCACAAAUUCCAUUUCAUAAUACAAGAGUAUGAAUGCAUCUGAAACACCUUGAUGUCAUCAUGAUAAAAAAACAUUAUUUUCCCCCUUAAUGAAUUGACAAGAAUCUCUGACAAGUUGUUGUUUAAUACUCUGUAGAAGUGUAGAGGAAUGAAUAUUCAGUUAUGUAAUUGGAAGAGAAAAUGUAGUAUGCUCUGUAAAAUAUUGAACAUUCACGCUUGAACAUAGUAUUUGAGCCUUGAGCGAGAAACAUUGGAUUGUUAUUAACAGGUCCUAUGGUUCCGCAAAAAAAAAACAUUAUGGCAUAAAUAUACAAGUCGUCAAUACGGACAUAAAAUACGAAAGUUUUUCACCACCACAAAGCGCCAUGUCAUCGGAUAUUUAGGACCGUCGGAUGCAGCCACGGAUUCAACCGCUGCCAUCAGAACUGAAGUGAAGAUGAGUGAAAAAUCUUGGUGAAUGGUAGAAUACUCUAGGAGUCACUGAGUAGGUGAAAAGGGUACCAAAAGAAAAAUAAAUAACGCAAAACCCAUCUCCUCCCGAAACGCAUCCACGCCGCCUGCCCUCCUCUUCGCCGGGGCUUUUAACUAUUUGCCACUCUUACGAGUAGUGCUUAACGAUUUGCCACUAGGCCCAUAUGUCAUAGACACAUGAGGGCCCACAUGUCAUAGACACGGUGUGGCAAACCGUUAAUUGCCAUGUCACAAGAGUGGCAAAUAGUUAAAUUUCCCCUCUUCACCUCCAUCACGGCGUUCUCACCUCUUUCCCCAUUGCCGUCGCCGCCGCGACAGGCUCCGCUUCUGCCUCCUAGUCCCCCAGCCCCAUUCUCCCGGGCAUCUUUUCCCUUCCUUGCUGCACCCAGCAUCUCUUACUCGCACAGCCCACCGCCUGCUCUCCCAUUGCCGCCAAAGCCUUUGAUCUACGCGCUUUCUCAUCCCCAUCCUCAUCCCCAUCCCCGUCCCAAUCACAGCUCCAGAAAAGCGAGACAAUAUCGAGGUUCACAACAGUAGAACAAGGCGGGCGACGAUAAAUCAGAUCACAGCUUUCAGUCAUCCCUCGUCAACGGGAUUUGGUAAGUCACAAACUUAGUAAAUCCCAUCGCCUCCUAUCUUUGCCUUCCCACGCUGUAGCUGGGAACUACAUCUGGGGUCAAUAAAGAACAGUGAUGGGAUGGAUUGAUGAAGAGCAAUGUUAUAAUAAUAUGCUAGAAAGCACAUGUACAACUGUGUUUCGUAAAAAAAAAUAAGGAUUGCUCCUGUGUGUUUUGUUUAGCAAGGGAAUAUUAAUGUGAUAGGUUGAUAGCCAACUCAAAUGAUUUUGUUUUUCUUGGACAGUAAGGUCUUUUUAUUUUUAUUUUUUGCCUUCUGACUUCUAAAGAUGAAAGCCAAACGCAACAGACCAUGUGACAAUAGGGCACGUUAACCUUAACCAGUUUAAGUAAAAAAAAUUAGGUUCUACUACCUUUGAAUCGCAGGAUAGAAAAAAAGUAGGAUUUUGAUAGGAAUGUAAGUGUAAAACAGAUGAUUGCAAAACACAGGAAUAGCCGUUUGAUUGGACCGCAGGAAAAACACGGAAAUUAGAGGAGAGAUAAAGACUCAAAGGAAAGUUUCCAUAAGGUUCUACCUCAUGUUAGAAUUCCUCCAAAACUUGCAUGACAUUAGGCAUUCCAUAGGAAUUUCAUAGGAUUCCAUAAGAUUCAUUUCUUUGAUUCAAAGGGCUAUAUAGAAAAAAUUCCUAUAGGAAUGAAAUCCUCUAAAAUUCCUAUGAAUUUCCCUUAAAUCAAAGGGGGCCUAAAUAGCGCCCUUUUUAAUUGUACACCAAUCACCUGAAUACUGGAGUUUCUGAAUCUGCAUUUAGCCUAUGUAAUGCCCUAUUUAGUUCCAAUGCAAAAACUUUUCACCCUGUCACAACAAAUGUUUGUACACAUGCAUGGAGAAUUAAAUAUAGAAAAAAAACUAAUUACACAGAUAUGCGUGCAAAUUGCGAGACAGAUCUUUUAAGCCUAAUUGCUCCAUGAUUUGAUAAUACGGUGCUACAGUAAACAUUUAUUAAUGGUGGAUUAAUUAGGCUUAAUAAAUUCGUCUCGCAGUUUACAGGCGGAAUAUGUAAUUUAUUUUGUUAUUAGUCUACGUUUAAUACUUCAAAUGUAUGUGCGUAUAUCCGAUGUGACACGCCAAAACUUUUCACCCCUGUAACUAAACAAGGCCUAAAUGUCAAUCAUAUAUUGCAAACUGUUUAUGCACAUGUCAAUAUAUGAUUUUAGCGUGAAUUUGACAACCAAAAUGUAAAUGACUGAAUCUGUAAUUACUGGGUACUUCUGCAUUUUUAGCUUGCAAUAUGCUGACCACAAAUGGUUGUCAAGCCUGAAAUUUAUGAUGACUUUCUUCACUCUUUCUGAUAGAGCUUCUUUGAUAGAAGUUAUAUCUUCUUACUCUUUAAGAUUCUAGAUAUUCCUACCCUCAACAGUAUAUUUUUUCUUACUUUACGAUUCUAGAUAUCCGUACCCUAUUUAACCUUUACGAUAUUAUAUAUACUUUACACCAAUUUAUACAUAUCUCUUGAAUAGACGGUCACAUACUAAUUAUACAUGUCAUCGUGGUCGCGCGACCUAUGUGGCUAGUUUUAUGUAUAUCUAUACUGAAAUUUUAAUUCUUACCAUGAACAGAUUGGUACUGGUGUCUCGCCUAUUCCCCCGAUGAAUCCUUCCAUCCCCCGGCGUCGAGCCAAGGACGCCGCCCUCCGGCGAGAGGCGGAGCGGUAUGUGAGCACCGCUAAGGAUCUCUUGUCAGGCCAAAUCACAAAGGGCAAAAUCGAGCGCUG
rnacentral:lncRNA from 1 species